rnacentral:rRNA from 1 species
UACGUAGGGGGCAAGCGUUAUCCGGAUUUACUGGGUGUAAAGGGAGCGUAGACGGAAUUGCAAGUCUGAUGUGAAAAUCCGGGGCCCAACCCCGGAACUGCAUUGGAAACUGUAUUUCUAGAGUGUCGGAGAGGCAAGUGGAAUUCCUGGUGUAGCGGUGAAAUGCGUAGAUAUCAGGAGGAACACCAGUGGCGAAGGCGGCUUGCUGGACGAUGACUGACGUUGAGGCUCGAAAGCGUGGGGGGCAAACAGG